CAGUCGCCGCGGUAAUACGAAGGGGGCUAGCGUUGUUCGGAAUUACUGGGCGUAAAGCGCACGUAGGCGGACAUUUAAGUCAGGGGUGAAAUCCCGGGGCUCAACCUCGGAACUGCCUUUGAUACUGGGUGUCUCGAGUCCGGAAGAGGUAAGUGGAACUGCGAGUGUAGAGGUGAAAUUCGUAGAUAUUCGGAAGAACACCAGUGGCGAAGGCGGCUUACUGGCUCAUACUGGACGCUGAGGUGCGAAAGCGUGGGGAGCAAACAGGAUUAGAUACCCCGGUAGUCCCUGUCUCUUAUAC
rnacentral:rRNA from 1 species